UACGUAGGGGCUAGCGUUGUCCGGAUUUAUUGGGCGUAAAGAGCGUGUAGGCGGCCAGGUAGGUCUGGUGUGAAAACUCGAGGCUUAACCUCGAGAUGUCAUCGGAAACCAUCUGGCUAGAGUCCGGAAGAGGAGAGUGGGAAUUCCUAGUGUAGCGGUGAAAUGCGCAGAUAUCAGGAAGAACACCAAUGGCGAAAGCAGCUCUCUGGGACGGUACU
rnacentral:rRNA from 1 species